rnacentral:pre_miRNA from 1 species
UCUGUAGUGGAGAAGAGGCCUAGGUGGUGGGACAGGUAACUGAGACUCAGUGUCACAUGGCUCCCUGUCUUCUGCCUCAGA